GAAAAGUGUGAGAACUUUACGUGUGCGUAUAAGGUAAGCAAAAAAAAAAAAGAGGGCUGGUCGGUGAAGAAGGUGUGACUAAGUUUCAGUCCAGACUAAGUUUCAGUCCAGGCUCGUCUUCCUGUCCUGCACAUACGGCACCGGCUCUCAGGUGUAAACCACCCUCUGAGGAGUUGACUUGCUGAUCCUGUUCAGAUGUUUGUGAGAGGAACUUUUUGCUGAUAUUUUUCCUAUUAGAAGGAGCAGAAAUAACUCAGUCAGCUGUAGGAGGAAUUUCAUCAGGAGAUUAAUCCUCAAUCUGUUUUCAUCGUUUGUCAACACUGGAGUAACUUGGCUUCAGGAGUGGAUUAAAGACACCGCCUCUUAAGCUUGACCAGGUAUGCGGAAUUCCAAAGCGGCGGAUGAGGAAAAAGGAGAAACUCUUCCAUUAUCCCCUCCUAAAGCAACUCCAGAGUCUGUAAAUAAUGACCCGCCAGACCCAAAAUGUUAUAAAAGACUGGCCAUUUGCAGCAUGAUCUGUGGAUGUUCCUGCUUUGCCUACAAAGCACUGGAGUAUUAUUUCAAGGGAGAACAGACGCAAGACAUAGAUGAAGUUAAAAAGCUUUUUAAGAAGUCGAGAAACUACAGUAUCAUCGCCAUGGUGACAGGGAUUGGGACUAUAAUCAGCAUUAUUGCACUAACAUUUCUCAUUUCCUACAUUCUUACACUGUUCGACUGAACAUCCACAGCAGCACACACACACAAAAAAAAAAUAUUCCUGUGAAAAUUUACUGAUUUUUGUUUUGAUGUUUUAUCGAGCAAAAAGUAACAAAACAAAGCUGUGACCACUAGUUUGCAUUAGAAGUUACAUGAAACAAAUGGAGAAAAAAACACUACUUUUUUACUUUACAGCUGUUAUUUUCCUGUAUUAAAUAGAAAAAAACAGAUGGCUUUUCUUUCUUAUAUUUAUCAUAGACAAUUUUUAUUAUUACCAGAUAAAAUCCAGCAUUGCCUUUAAAAUAUAA